UACGUAGGGUGCGAGCGUUAAUCGGAAUUACUGGGCGUAAAGUGUGCGCAGGCGGCCGAGCAAGUCGAGUGUGAAAGCCCCGGGCUUAACCUGGGAACUGCGCUCGAAACUACUUGGCUGGAGUGUGGCAGAGGGAGGUGGAAUUCCACGUGUAGCGGUGAAAUGCGUAGAGAUGUGGAGGAACACCGAUGGCGAAGGCAGCCUCCUGGGCCAACACUGACGCUCAUGCACGAAAGCGUGGGGAGCAAACGGG
rnacentral:rRNA from 1 species